UGACAAAUAUUAUGUAGUAUAAAACAACCAAAUCCUGGUUCGGGCUACACAUAUUUAGCUGUAACAGUAGGUUUUUCUUAUUUUUUCGAUCUUGAGCUCCGGAGAAAAUAAUAUGCACUUGAAACAAAUGGAUAUUGGAAUGAAUAAGCUGCUUCGAGAAUGGGAAUGUAGGUAGAAGGUAAGGCGGUGGCACAAUUCCAUUCUUUAAACUUUCUCAUCUCCUUAAUUUUUAAUAUCCAUGAAAGUAGGAUAGCAAACCCUAAAUGGAACCCAGUAGAAGUUAAACUGUUCCUUAGAAUAAGAAGAAGAAGAAGCGGCUGAACUUUCAUAUGCAUGAUGCAAGAUGUUAAAUAAACAAAAGCAGCUUUUGCAUUUGUACUCGUCCCCUUGCCACAUAGUUGACUGGCUAGAAAGUAUAGAAAGCAAUACUGGUAUCCAAUUUCAUAACAAAUUCAUAUCAAAUAUCGCACACCCUACUUUCUGAGAACCCUUUUCCAUACUCCUUCCAGUUCUUUUAGAAUUCCAGUCCAAAUAACAAUAUUAUUGUCAACUGUCGCUCCUUCUGGUUCCAUCACUCAGUUUUUUAAUAAGACAGACAGACAUACGAGCUCGCCUGAAUUUAUUUGCCAUGUUUUAAUUUUUUUCCAGAGAUUGGAUCAAGAGUGUAGUAUAUCUUGAGAAUACUUGAGAGCUGCUGUGUCUAAAUCUUCUCACAUGCACUUCAUUGCCAGAUAAAGAGUAAGCAGAUAAUCUGUUUCCCGAAAUUGCGUCACUGUAUAGUUGAGAAUUAAAAUUAGAAAGAAGAAGACAAAAGAUAAAAAGCUUUUCCUAUCAUUCCAUCCAAAUCCGAUUAAGUCCCAGUCAACAAUUCGGUAUGGAAUUAGCCUCACGAAUUUAAAUACAAUAAUGGACUCGAGUGCAAUUCACUCCUCUUCUCCACACUGCUUAAGAGUGAAGAAAGAUGAACUUUUUGUCUGCUACCCUUGAACAGGGACUCGGAAAAUCUCCUUCCUCCAAGCCAACUACAGGAUAGGAUCCACGAAAUUGCCAAAUUUACAUUGGAGGGGAGUGAAUGAUAUCAAAGAAAGAAAAUGAAUGGAUCGACUUGACUCGAGCGAGUAAUAGAUUACAUUGCGUAUUAUUGCUAGUGCACCAGUGGCAGCAACUUAAUCCGGAACUCGAAUAAAUUACGGACAUGAAUUAGUUCAGAUUUACAGAGGAGAUUCAAAAAAACGAAAAAAAGUUAGUCUUUCAUGUUGCUUAUUCUCUCGUAGAAUUAAUCGUCGUCACCAAUGAAAUAAAAAAAAACGACGACGACGGAACUGGAAGUGGAUCGGAUCCACUCAAUUCGUCGCUAUAUGCACUGUAUGUACAUGGAUACUGCUAUUGGCUGAGCUUGGCUGGAGAGACGGAAGUGGAUAAUGUCAACCUUUACACAUUCCUCUUCCUCCUCCAUGGUCUCUGCUUUAAUUUAAUGACUGUUGCACAGUUUAGAACAACCAAUAGAUUCGGAUACACUUUGUUGGCAAUCACGUACAUUUCAGUGUCAGAGACUUGGCCAUUUAAAUUUGCUAUAAAUACUGAAUACUUUGUGGAUUUAUUUAGCAGCACCCAAUGAGUCAUGAAAGUAUUAAAAGCGAUAAAUAAUUCUGCAUGCUUUACAAAACUA